CGGGAAAGGCAGUGUUGUUUUUUCGUUCUUUGUGGAAGUCGGUCGGCGGUGUGUUCGGGAUCGGGAGGGGGUUCUCGCCCCUUUGGACGGGAGCCGGAGGCGGAUUAUUCUCUGCGGGGCAACACCAACAAUUUACGUUCGUUCGACCUGCGGUGAGAGGUCUAUUGGAAGAAAGGCCCCAACUGGAAGCAAACAACGGCUGAAGACGGGAACAGCAACAAGUGAACCAGCGCGAGGACUGAGAGCAUCAACGAGAGAACACUCCUGACUCAGAGUUUCCAUUGAUUCAGUCAGGAGAAAGUUUGGUUAAAAAUGACAAGGAAUUUGUCUACGGGAAUGUAUAACAUAACACACACGUUUUGCUGUCUCUUUUGAUAUUUAAGAAGUGGAGCAAGGGAUUCACUCGAUUAUCCUUCCUGCUCAGACUGUGGCGAGGGAUUUACUCGGUCAUUUCAAUUGAAGGUACAUCAGCAAGUUCGCACUGGGACAAGGCCGUUCACCUGUUCUGUUUGUGAGAA